rnacentral:rRNA from 1 species
GACGAACGCUGGCGGCGUGCUUAACACAUGCAAGUCGAACGGAAAGGCCUUGCUUUUGUGGGGUGCUCGAGUGGCGAACGGGUGAGUAACACGUGAGUAACCUGCCCUUGACUUUGGGAUAACUUCAGGAAACUGGGGCUAAUACCGGAUAGGAGCUCCUGCUGCAUGGUGGGGGUUGGAAAGUUUCGGCGGUUGGGGAUGGACUCGCGGCUUAUCAGCUUGUUGGUGGGGUAGUGGCUUACCAAGGCUUUGACGGGUAGCCGGCCUGAGAGGGUGACCGGCCACAUUGGGACUGAGAUACGGACCAGACGCCUACGGGAGGCAGCAGUGGGGAAUAUUGCACAAUGGGCGGAAGCCUGAGGCAGCAACGCCGCGUGCGGGAUGACGGCCUUCGGGUUGUAAACCGCUUUCGCCUGUGACGAAGCGUGAGUGACGGUAAUGGGUAAAGAAGCACCGGCUAACUACGUG